rnacentral:tRNA from 1 species
CAAGAUAGAGCAUGAAAUUAUGCUUUUCACUUACAAUGAAACUAAAGAAUUAUUUUCUUAUCUUGA